UUGGGCAGGAGUACCUGAGUUACAAGAAUCACGCCAGCACAAUCAUCUCAAACCGUCCCUUCUGCUUUUUCACACACACACACCCCCUUUGAAAUUUCAAAUUCCAGUUUGUGGACAAAGUCCUAUCUAUCUGAGAAUAUAGAUCUCCGACCACUGACCAAACUCCAUUCCAAGCAACUACCUAGUUAUGCUUCUCCCCAGGCUCUGACAUUCAGUGCUUGGAGCUGCAGGAAAGGUUUGCGAACCAGCUAUUCAUGCCUGAGCAGCUGUGCACCUUUGAAGAAUGGAUCUGGGGGCCCAUUUUUUUGUGGCUAUGGAAGAGGAUAACCUUCUGAUCACCAGUAACCAGCCAGGUGUGAAUGAGCUACCCAAACAACUUGCAUGAAAAAAAGAAAAAGCCCAUGUAACCAAAAGCUGCCGAGCCAUCUUGAAUGAGAGAGCAUGGCAUGCCAGCACAUGAUUCAUUCUGAGGAUGAUGUGCUAGAAUGAAAUCAUCACACUCUGUAGGUAUGAAAGGUAAUUAUUACCGGAUCGGUACAGGAUGCGCAGCUGAUGUAGGCCACAGAAUUUGGAUCCUGAGUCUUAAGAGCAAAGGAUUACCUGAUCUUUCUAGGGACGUGCCCUGUAUUUUUGGGUUGUACACUAUGCCAAAAGCACUAAAGAGCAGGAAGGCAUCAAUCAGAGAUAUGUCAUGGAAUAGGGCCAUGGAAAGGGAAUCCAUUUAAAGAGACAGCAACAUAGGGUUUUUUGUUAUUUAAAUGAAGGCUCUGGUUCUAAAUUUGCAAUAUUUGGGGUGCAUGGGUGGAUAACACGUUUGCCCUGAGGACUCACUCAUGAAGCCUUUUGGCAGCCUUGCACAAAAGCUGCUGCCAUGGGAAUAUCUCUUACAGAAGAGGUAAGUUUAGAUCUACUCCCAUGUGGUUUGGGUUCUCGUCCCCCUCAAUUGAAACUUUCUAAAAGCUGAGAAUUCAGCCACAUCCAUUAUGCAAGCAAUGGUAGCUUAAUAACUUUAGGGCAAAGAGAAGAUGCUUGUUUCAGCGAGCAGAUCCAAGGGGGUUCUGGGACAUAGAGACAAAAUGGGUGAGUAGCUUCUCCACAGUUCCAGGAACCUCAAACAUCUAGAAGAAUCUGAAGGCCAAAUGGGUUAUUGUGAUAUGUUGGCUUCAGAGAAUGUUUGCCCAGAAAUUACCGGACAAUAAAGGAGCAAAGAAAACUUCCUGCUAAUCAGGUUUGAAAACUCAAGAGUACUAAUCCUCACAAAAAAAGCACCAGGCUUGACUCUUCUUUGAUAAGUUUAAAGCUGUUAACAUGUUUGCAUAAACAAUGAAUCUGGGUGCUGUUUUCUCCUACGGGGAGGGGGCUUUGAGAGUGAACCCCUCUGGGUGUUUCCACAAGUAGCAUUAACAUUCAAAACAUUCAUUCCCAUGCACUAAAUAUUUGGGUGCAUGUGUGAAUGUUGCUAAUGUGGAUGGAGAAUGAAUUUUAAAACUGAAAGGUACAUUCUAACCAAUCAAGAUUUUACUUUCACAUUUCAGAUUCUGGGAGCUUUUCAGUGACAUGCACGGAAGUUAGAUGUACAACUUAAGGCAACCAUUUGCGCAGUUUGCUUGGUUAAACUCUGGCAACACUUGAGGGAGGGAAAAACACCCAGUAAUACUUUUUCCUCCCCAAACAGGCUGAUGGUCAAAAUUAAAGUCCUAGUAGGACCCAGUACCUGGUGUUUCCUGAAGGAAAUCAUAGCCAUUCAUGUUCCAGAUGGACCUGAUGGUUCUCCAAAGAGAGAAAGAGAGAGCUAGAGGAGCCUCACACCCCGAGAGGGACUUCUGCCCAGCAAGCAGCAUAGGGGUUCUGAGCAGGGAGCCAUGUUCUGUCUGACUAAGCAAAAGAGAAGCCAGCUGGAGUGUGGGCUGCAGGGCUAAGAUAAUCCCCUUAAUGCCAGUCACAAUGAGAUUUGAUUGGAGGCAGGAGUUCAUGCUGUGGAGUUUAAGGAGUGCUGCUGAGUGCUGGAACAGGUUUCGUAAGGUAGCCCCUAGAGCUGUGCUACUGUGGCCAUGUCCCAUGACCAUCCUGUGCUGAACAGACCACUUUUCCAAAGUGGCUGCUGCUGAAUAUGCACUCGCGUCUGCAUGUGAUUCGCCUGGAGUCAAAGAGUUUAAAUGUAAUAAAUACGUAGCAUGUCUGCAGCACUUUAUCUCAGAGAACAUCCACACCAAACAUUUAAAGCAUAGGGUUUCUCCGAAAGAAUCUUGGGUCUGUUAAGGGUGCUGGGAAGGUUAGCUCUGUGAGAGGUAAACUUCAGUUCCCGGCAUUCUUACGGGGGGAGGCAUGUGAUUUAAAUGUGAUUUAAAUGUCUGGAGUGGAUGUGGCCAGUUAUAUACCUUCCAACAUUUCUCUGAUGAAAAUAGGGAUGUCCUAUUCAACAAAAACAAGAAGUUUAUUAUUUAUACCCCA